UUUUUUCAUUAUUUGACAAAUGUAACUACUCUUUUUUCUUUUUUCAUUGUUUGAUAGUCUCUUAGAAAAAUAAAAAGGUGCAACACCACAUCACCUUCUUAGUCAGGGAGUUUUUUACUGGUAACUCUCUCUCUAAGAUGCAUAUCCAUAGAGGAAUUAUGGUGGUUUGGCUAUCAAGUAAUUUAUUAAAUGUGAGUAUGCAUCUAUGUAGUUAGCUUUCUAAAAACUCUAAACGAAAUUAGUAUUAAUAGGAGAAGAUUGUCAAAUUAGAGACAUGAGUGGUUGAUGCGUUUUACACAUGGGGUUAAUGUGGAUUAUGUUUUGAAGGACACUCACGAAGGUUAGGAAUUGAUAGUAGUUUGUUCAAUCAUCAUCUAGAUUUCAAUUCUAUGUAAACCCUCUUGUUUUGCUCUACAUUUCAUCACCAUAGUUACUGAAUUUGUUGCUGUGGUAGUGGUAGAACAAGGGUACAAUUUCUCCUUGUUAUAUUGUGUCUUAUAAGUUCAAAUGUAUAACAUUGCAGCAGCAGGAUCCCUUAUUAGUCUAUACUUUAUCAACAGACCAGAGUGGCUAGUUGUUGAUCAUGCAUGCAUUUCAUACAUCCUUGUCCUUUUAUAUGACACCCUUGCUUCGGAUGCGGUGAAGUGCAAUGGGACACGGAAGUAAGGGGGAUGUAGCAGUGUCCCAUGAAAACCUGAUUGCAAGUGUUGCUGUUGGAAGUCUUGAAAUUAACUUCUAUCCAUUGGAUGUUGUUAUAAAUGCAGUGAAGUCAUCUGGUGGUAUGAGAGAAAAGACUGUUUAACAAUGUGAAGAGGCAAGAACUACUUAAGGGUAACAGUUUACAAAACUUUCUUCAGCACUUUUAGCUUUCGAUACUUUAAAGAAUAUAUUCUGUGUGAUAUUAUUGAAUCUUUCAGGCUAGAAUUCAUAUCCUAUGCUAUGUGGGACAAAUUGUUAGUAUUGCUACUUAAAAAAUACCCAAAGUCAAAAUUAUGGUCAAAAUGAAAGGAGGAGAAACAAUUGGCCCAGCUGCCUCUCAAAAUGCCCCCUGUAGUUCCCAAAAAAUUCUGCCUUUUUCCUUUAUAUAUUUCCAUCCAGUAUGUGCUGCACUGAUAAAGUGCUACCUGGAUAAUGAUGUCUUAAAGUUUCAUAACCCUUCUUUUCUUUUUUACGUUAAAAGUUCACUUAAAUUAAAAGUGGUCAAACUUCUUGGAUUAUGAAGGCCUAGUCAUGGAUCCUAAUGCUUUAAAAAAGAGAAUAUUUUUUGGGGAGGUGGAAUACAGCUUGCGAAAAGAGGUUUGGGAAUUUUUAUUGGGAUCUUAUUUAUACGAUUCGACAUAUGCAGAGAGGUGGUAUAUUGUCUCGGUUAAAACAUCAGAGUACAUGACUUUCAAAAAAAUCAAUGGCAGUAAGGAGAUUGGGAAGAUGAAGAUAAGGGGAAAAAAUCAUUUUACUUGAAAGUAAUCAUUCAUUUUUUUAACAAGGUCAGUGAUCUCCUCUCUCUAAUAAUGGAAAGAUCAAGUCCAAAGUUAAACUGUGAUCAAAACGGCAUGCACUCUCAACUCUUUGCAUUAUCAAAGAUCUGACUCACCUCUAUAAAGUUGAAUGAUGUAAACUCUUCCAAUUCCUAGACGAUCUGACCUCUACAAAGUUGAAUGAUGUUGCAUUGGAUGCUGAUGUCCUUGUUAUGUUGACUAAAGCCGUCUCUAAUAAGAAAGAGUCGAUAUGGAUCUAUAAAUCCAGAAUUGACUUUAUGUUAUAAACUAUUUCUAUGGUUUUUCUGAGUAAUAUAUAUUUUUUUUCAUCUUUCGUUGUUUUUCUUGGAAAGAAUUUAAAAAUCAGUGGUGUUUUUAUAUGAGGAUUAAGAAAAAUGAGCCAUCUGUUAGGAGGUCACUCUUGAGAUUCAACCAUAUUUCACAUCUGUUGUUCUAACUCUCUAGCGUACUGGUGCGACGGGUAAGUUAUAAUCAUAAAUGAUUAUAUAGCGUUGUCCGUUCCUUUCUCCUCCGCCACCACCCGACCCCGCUACUGCUACAUCCGCCACUUAUACCACCGCCACCACCUCUUCCGUCACCAACUGUCCUAAUCAUAUAUGAUUGCUCAAUCUAUGAACAAACCUAUAUGUAUACCUCUCUCAUAUAAACAUUUACGUGUUGUCUUUUCCGCUAAUUACCUAAACAUUACCAACAUUUUCUUCAUUUUCCGAGCGUUAGAUUACAAAAAUAAUAAUAAUAAUUAGGAAAUGGAAAACAUUUAAGUCAAAAGCAUUUGAAAUACCAUGUUUUUUAAUGAGGCUUAGCAGCCAAAGUGGAAAGUCGAUUGCCCCUGCCCCCAAAAGCUUUGGUCAGGGUUCAAUCCCCGGCCAAAGCAUGUUUUUGAUACACAGUAUGGCUAAGUAAAGAGAUACUUUCAGGGAGAGCAUUCAAAUCUGGAAAGUUUUGUGGUAUGUUACUAUUAUGGAUUAAAUCGAUAACAUGUUAUUUAAUAAACUAUAAUGCAUUGCUGUUAUGGUUUAAAAGUUCCGCAACAUGUUGUUAUUAUGGAUUAAAUUGAUAACAUGUUCUUAUAAUAAGCUAAAGUAAAUUGAUAUUAUGGUUUAAAAGUUAAAGUAGUAUGUUGUUAUGAUGAGUUAAAUUGAUAAUAAAUGAAAGUACAUAUGUUUUAAAAGUUAAGUAGUAUGUUGGUAUUAUGAACUGAAUUUAUAAUAAACUAAAGUAUAUUGUCAUUAUGGUUUAAAAGUUAAGUAUAUUUACCAAUUAUAUA